rnacentral:rRNA from 1 species
GUAGGGGGCGAGCGUUGUCCGGAUUCAUUGGGCGUAAAGAGCUCGUAGGCGGCUUGGCAAGUCAGGUGUGAAAUCUCUGGGCUCAACUCAGAGAGGCCACCUGAUACUGCUAUGGCUAGAGUCCGGUAGGGGACCAUGGAAUUCCUGGUGUAGCGGUGAAAUGCGCAGAUAUCAGGAGGAACACCGGUGGCGAAGGCGGUGGUCUGGGCCGGCACUGACGCUGAGGAGCGAAAGCGUGGGGAGCGAACAGGAUUAGAUACCCUGGUAGUCCACGCCGUAAACGUUGGGCACUAGGUGUGGGGCCUUAUCAACGGGUUCCGUGCCGUAGCUAACGCAUUAAGUGCCCCGCCUGGGGAGUACGGCCGCAAGGCUAAA